AAUGGCAUAGAAGACAUUCAAUCGCCUCCUCGCAGGCAAAAAUGGGGCAGUUUCAGCAACUGCUGGCACAUAGACCAUGUACAAUCAAGCUCAUGCCCAUGCCCAUGCCCAUGCCCUCAGCCUCUCUCCUUCCCAUCAACGCCGCCUUCUCAAAGCUUCCCACCUCUUCUUCUCUCAGACUCACCCCGCCCACUCGCCUUCUUCCUAUCUCGGCCGCCCCAUCUCGUUUCGUCUGCAAGAUGAACGGUUCAGGUAUGCCCUGACUCUUCUUUGUCGAAAUCUUCGUUACCCAGAUAUUAUUUAGCUGAUGUUGUUCAUAAUUAGGGACCCAGAGUUGUUGUUGGAACUUUUCACGAACACUUGGUUUGAAAUUGACUAUGAUGGGCGUUAGUGAUUGGGUAUGUGAAGAUUUUGGAUGUUGGGAAAAUGAAGGAAAAGGAAGGAGAAUUUGGAACGUGUAGGUUGUGACUGAAGUACCCAAUUGUACUAAACACACAAAAAGGCCAUUGCUUGUUGAGGUCUUUUCUUUUAAGUCGUGUUUGGAACCCUGGAAUAGAGAAAUGGGAAUGGGAAAUUAAUUCCAUUCCUAUUCAUUAAUGUGUUUGGAUUGUUGUUCAGAAUGGGAAUAGGAAUAAAAAAUUCAUUUGUAGAGAACCAAAUCCCACUCUCACUAGGAUUUUGAUUCCUCGGUUCUACAUGGUAUUGUGAUUCACCCCCUUUCCAUCUUAUUUCGGUUCCCAUUCCCACAUGCCAAACGCACAAGGGUACUGGGAGGGCUGAAUUGAAUUCGUGACAGACCUAAGUUUCGAUAUAUAUGUGUAUUAUGUAUUAUCUAGUGUCCUCAUAUCGAAUUUUGCGUCUUUGGAGAAUCAUAUUGAUCAGUGUUUCAUGCUAUCUCCAGUUUAUUUUACAGUGUAUUUAACCACUUCUAUGUUCCACAUGUAUGGUAUCUCAACAUUUCUCCGCUUGCUGUGACUAGUUUGGCUGAAUUUCAAUCCUGGCCAGGGGCUGAAAAGGCACCAAGAUCGAUUAGGUAAAAUAAUAGGCAGCAAUUCCAAAACUUAGCUGAACAAUGAUGAGUUUGGAAAAUUGGUUUUUGGAAAUAAUUGAAAUUUGACAUCGCAGCUGGAACUUGGGAAGUCAGGCGGAAAAUGGAAACCACAGAGGCAAGUGAAUGGAAUAUUCUGGAUCAUUCUUCUUAAUCUUGGAAUAUUUGUGGCAGAUCAUUUAUUUCAGGUUCGGGCCAUCAAAACCCUAUACUUGUAUCACAAUUGGCCUGCUUGGUACCAGUUUGUGACGGCAACAUUCUGUCAUGCUAAUUGGUGAGACCCUAUACUGUUCAAGGAUACAUGUACUUGGAUAUCACAUAUUACUUAUGUGAUAUGUGUAUAGAGUAAGGAUAAAAAUAUAAGUAAUCUAUAUUGGUAUUUC